rnacentral:rRNA from 1 species
AUGAACGCUGGCGGCGUGCUUAACACCUGCCAGUCGAACGAUGAAGCCCAGCUUGCUGGGUGGAUUAGUGGCGAACGGGUGAGUAACACGUGAGUAACCUGCCCUUGACUCUGGGAUAAGCCUGGGAAACUGGGUCUAAUACUGGAUAUGACUUCUCAUCGCAUGGUGGGGGGUGGAGAGAUUUAUUGGUCUUGGAUGGACUCGCGGCCUAUCAGCUUGUUGGUGAGGUAAUGGCUCACCAAGGCGACGACGGGUAGCCGGCCUGAGAGGGUGACCGGCCACACUGGGACUGAGACACGGCCCAGACUCCUACGGGAGGCAGCAGUGGAGAAUAUUGCACAAUGGGCGCAAGCCUGAUGCAGCGACGCCGCGUGAGGGAUGACGGCCUUCGGGUUGUAAACCUCUUUCAGUAGGGAAGAAGCGAGAGUGACGGUACCUGCAGAAGAAGCGCCGGCUAACUACGUG